rnacentral:rRNA from 1 species
CGCGGCCUAUCAGCUUGUUGGUGAGGUAAAGGCUCACCAAGGCAUUGACGGGUAGCUGGUCUGAGAGGACGAUCAGCCACACUGGGACUGAGACACGGCCCAGACUCCUGCGGGAGGCAGCAGUGGGGAAUCUUGCGCAAUGGGCGAAAGCCUGACGCAGCAACGCCGCGUGGGGGAUGAAGGCUCUCGGGUUGUAAACCCCUUUCAGCAGGGACGAAAUUGACGGUACCUGUAGAAGAAGCCCCGGCCAACUACGCGCCAGCAGCCGCGGUAACACGUAGGGGGCGAGCGUUGUCCGGAAUUAUUGGGCGUAAAGGGCUCGUAGGCGGUUCGGUAAGUCAGAUGUGAAAGGUUGGGGCUCAACCCUAAGACUGCAUUUGAUACUGCCGUGACUAGAGUCCGGUAGAGGAGUGUGGAAUUCCUGGUGUAGCGGUGAAAUGCGCAGAUAUCAGGAGGAACACCGACGGCGAAGGCAGCACUCUGGGCCGGUACUGACGCUGAGGAGCGAAAGCGUGGGUAGCAAACAGGAUUAGAUACCCUGGUAGUCCACGCCGUAAACGUUGGGCACUAGGUGUGGGACCUUAUCAGCGGGUUCCGUGCCGUAGCUAACGCAUUAAGUGCCCCGCCUGGGGAGUACGG